rnacentral:rRNA from 1 species
GAUGAACGCUAGCUACAGGCUUAACACAUGCAAGUCGAGGGACCGGCGCACGGGUGAGUAACACGUAUCCAACCUGCCCUUUACUCGGGGAUAGCCUUUCGAAAGAACGAUUAAUACCCGAUAUAAAGGAUGGGGAUGCGUUCCAUUAGGUUGUUGGUGAGGUAACGGCACACCAAGCCUUCGAUGGAUAGGGGUUCUGAGAGGAAGGUCCCCCACGUUGGAGCUGAGCCACGGUCCCAACUCGUAGGGGACGCAGCAGUGAGUAAGAUUGGUCAAUGGGCGCUAGCCUGACCCAGCCAAGUAGCGUGAAGAAUGAAUGGUUAUUGGUCGUAAACUUCUUUUAUAUAAGAAUAUGUAUUAUAUGAAUAAGGAUCGGCUAACUCCGUGCCAGCAGCCGCGGUAAUAC